UACGUAGGGGGCAAGCGUUGUCCGGAAUCAUUGGGCGUAAAGAGCGCGUAGGCGGCCCUGUAAGUCCGUUGUGAAAGUCGAAGGCUCAACCUUCGAAAGCCGAUGGAUACUGCAGGGCUAGAGUCCGGAAGAGGCGAGUGGAAUUCCUGGUGUAGCGGUGGAAUGCGCAGAUAUCAGGAGGAACACCAAUAGCGAAGGCAGCUCGCUGGGACGGUACUGACGCUAAGGCGCGAAAGCGUGGGGAGCGAACAGG
rnacentral:rRNA from 1 species